rnacentral:rRNA from 1 species
AGUGGGGAAUAUUGGACAAUGGGGGCAACCCUGAUCCAGCCAUGCCGCGUGUGUGAAGAAGGCCCUCGGGUUGUAAAGCACUUUCAGCGAGGAAGAACGCCUAGUGGUUAAUACCCAUUAGGAAAGACAUCACUCGCAGAAGAAGCACCGGCUAACUCCGUGCCAGCAGCCGCGGUAAUACGGAGGGUGCAAGCGUUAAUCGGAAUUACUGGGCGUAAAGCGCGCGUAGGUGGCUUGAUAAGCCGGUUGUGAAAGCCCCGGGCUCAACCUGGGAACGGCAUCCGGAACUGUCAGGCUAGAGUGCAGGAGAGGAAGGUAGAAUUCCCGGUGUAGCGGUGAAAUGCGUAGAGAUCGGGAGGAAUACCAGUGGCGAAGGCGGCCUUCUGGACUGACACUGACACUGAGGUGCGAAAGCGUGGGUAGCAAACAGGAUUAGAUACCCUGGUAGUCCACGCCGUAAACGAUGUCGACCAGCCGUUGGGUGCCUAGCGCACUUUGUGGCGAAGUUAACGCGAUAAGUCGACCGCCUGGGGAGUACGGCCGCAAGGUUA